GUUAACACGUGCCAUUAACUUCGUGAAACCAUGUCUGACCUAGGGAAGAUAUUCUUGAAAAACGGAUUAGAGUUUGCCAGAUCCUAUGAGUGCGUGACCUCAGAAGAGAAGAGGAGGGGACACUCCAAUGAUAAAGGUUGAAAGGAGCAGAGCCAGUUGGCCAUGGACUGAAACUUUCAGAGCUGAUUCAGAGGAGUUAAUGUUGCCAUGACUAUCUCAGAAGGAGACAUGGACAGAGGAACAGGUAUCUCACUCCCGUAGACAUUUUCUUACUGUGUAGUCCUGAGUGGCCUGGAAGUUGCUGUCUACACAAGCUGACCUUAAACUCACAGCGAUCUGUUUCAGCCUCCUAACUGUUGGGAUUGGAGGCGUGAGCCACGUGCCUGACCUGGAUUAUUUUAUGAAGCCAUUUUAUAAGUGCCAAGGACUUAUGCCUACUUUUAUUAUUCAUGUGAGAACAUUUAUGUGCCAUUUAAACAUUUUACUACAUUAAUGUUAUAACUUUGGAAAUUCUAGUCAAGGAAAGAGCUACAGGUCAGGGUUUCAAGCACAUAAUUUUCUAUACAUUAUAUUUAGUUACAACUUAAAGAUGGGGGUUGGGGAUUUAGCUCAGUGGUAGAGCACUUGCCGAGCAAGCACAAGGCCCUGGGUUCGGUCCUCAGCUCCAGG
rnacentral:lncRNA from 1 species